rnacentral:rRNA from 1 species
UAACGAAUAUUCCGCAAUGGGCGAAAGCCUGACGGAGCGACGCCGCGUGGAGGACGAAUUCCUUCGGGAUGUAAACUCCUUUUGGGGUGACGAAAACAAGAGGCGCUAAUAUCGCCUUGCGUUGAUUGAUCCCCGAAUAAGCCUGGGCUAAUUCCGUGCCAGCAGCCGCGGUAAGACGGAACAGGCAAGCGUUGUUCGGAAUCACUGGGCUUAAAGCGCGUGUAGGCGGCUUGGUAAGUACCUUGUGAAAGCCCCCGUCUCAACCGGGGAACCGCUGGGUAUACUGCCAGGCUUGAGGCUGGUAGGGGUGCCUGGAACUCUAGGUGGAGCGGUGAAAUGCGUAGAUAUCUAGAGGAACGCCUGUAGCGAAAGCGGGGCACUGGGCCAGUCCUGACGCUGAGGCGCGAAAGCGUGGGUAACAAACG